GUUCCGGUAGCUUGAAUGUUAGAGCUCUUGACGCGUAAUCAGAGAGAUCCGGGUUCAAUUCCCGGCUAACGUCCGAAGCC
rnacentral:tRNA from 1 species